ACCCUGCUCAGAAUCAACGCUGGCGGCGUGCCUAACACAUGCAAGUCGCACGAGAAAGGGUCUUCGGAUCUGAGUAAAGUGGCGCACGGGUGAGUAACACGUGAAUGAUCUACCUCCGAGUGGGGAAUAACUGAGGGAAACCUUAGCUAAUACCGCAUAACACUUACGAGUCAAAGCAGCAAUGCGCUUGGAGAGGAGUUCGCGGCAGAUUAGCUAGUUGGCGGGGUAAUGGCCCACCAAGGCGAUGAUCUGUAUCCGGCCUGAGAGGGCGCACGGACACACUGGAACUGAAACACGGUCCAGACUCCUACGGGAGGCAGCAGUGGGGAAUUUUGCGCAAUGGGGGAAACCCUGACGCAGCAACGCCGCGUGGAGGAUGAAGUCUCUUGGGACGUAAACUCCUUUCGAUCGGGACGAUAAUGACGGUACCGAUAGAAGAAGCCCCGGCUAACUUCGUGCCAGCAGCCGCGGUAAUACGAGGGGGGCAAGCGUUGUUCGGAAUUAUUGGGCGUAAAGGGCGCGUAGGCGGUUUGACAAGUUUGGUGUGAAAUCUAUGGGCUCAACCCAUAGCCUGCAUCGAAAACUGUCGGGCUUGAGUAUGGGAGAGGUGAGUGGAAUUUCCGGUGUAGCGGUGAAAUGCGUAGAUAUCGGAAGGAACACCUGUGGCGAAAGCGGCUCACUGGACCAUUACUGACGCUGAGGCGCGAAAGCUAGGGGAGCAAACAGGAUUAGAUACCCUGGUAGUCCUAGCCCUAAACGAUGAUUGCUUGAUGUGGCAGGUACCCAAUCCUGCCGUGUCGAAGCUAACGCGAUAAGCAAUCCGCC
rnacentral:rRNA from 1 species